GACGAACGCUGGCGGCGUGCUUAACACAUGCAAGUCGAACGGAAAGGCCUCUUUCGGGGGGUACUCGAGUGGCGAACGGGUGAGUAACACGUGAGUAACCUGCCCUUGACUUUGGGAUAACUUCAGGAAACUGGGGCUAAUACCGGAUAGGAGCUCCUGCUGCAUGGUGGGGGUUGGAAAGUUUCGGCGGUUGGGGAUGGACUCGCGGCUUAUCAGCUUGUUGGUGGGGUAGUGGCUUACCAAGGCUUUGACGGGUAGCCGGCCUGAGAGGGUGACCGGCCACAUUGGGACUGAGAUACGGCCCAGACUCCUACGGGAGGCAGCAGGGGGGAAUAUUGCACAAUGGGUGGAAGCCGGAUGCAGCAACGCCGUGUGCGGGAGGACGGCCUUCGGGUUGUAAACCGCUUUCGCUCAUGACGAAGCUUUGUGUGACGGUAGUGGGUAAAGAAGCACCGGCUAACUACGUG
rnacentral:rRNA from 1 species